GUAACUCAAGGGUAUAAGACAAAUUCACAGACAGCAGAACCAAGAGCAUUUUUCCAGGGAGAAUGACUAUGCCCUGAGGAACUAACAGCAUGUGUACAGAUAGAUUUUUAAAUCUAUGGAUGAGUCAUGGCAAUAUGCCUCUCUCUUUGCCUGUAAUUGAAUUGGGUGUCUAUCUUCCUGGUUCAUUCACAUCAUUACCCAAGCUAAAGCAGCCACAUGAAGAGGCUUACUUGGAAGACAACUUAAAACCUCAGCAGAAUGUCCAAUCAACAACCAGCAUGGACCUGCCAGUCAUGUGAGAAAACCAUCAUGGAAAUGGAUUCUUCAUCACCUUUCAAGCUGACAGGCCUGGUUUUGUACCUGACUUUAGCUAAUAGCUGUGCAAACUGUGUUGUUAUUUAGCCUCUAGGAACCUGGGUGCCCUAGCCAUCUCCAGUUACAAUGAUCAAUAUGCAGACACUAGAGCCAAGAGAGCCAGUAAAAGUCAGGACAAAUCUGGAGUUUCUGUUGGGAAGAAGCUAUAUCUACUGGACUUGACUCUGCCAGCAUAUCGUCAAAGCUAAGCACCAAUAAAACUAAUAGAGUACUGAUUACAUUGCUUACGUCUGCAUACGCAGCCAAGCUAAAGACAAUCUGCCCAGUUAUGCCAAUAAAUAAAUUGUCUUUUUUGUUGUGGUUGUUCUUUACUUUUUUUGGCUUGGUUUUGCCUAAGUCAUUUUGAGUUGGUUGCUCUUUCUUACUAUUAUUUUAACUAUUGUUUUAUGUAUAUAUGACUAGAGAAUAUUACAUAUCAAUUACAAUGUGGUCUAAUUACUAAAAUUAAUCCAUAUUAACAUUCCUCAAGGUAAAAACUGAAGCAAAUUUAGACAUGAAAAAUACAUCCCAGUACAGUUAUUUUUUUUAUUCCAUUUGAACCUUUAGAGUAUUAUGUUAAAGAGUAAAGACAAGAUUUUAGGAAACAAUAUUAUAUUUCAAGUCCAGAAAAUUAUCCUUUUUUAUGUUUAUUGAACAAUAUCUGUGAUAGUAUUCAGAAUUCAAAUUAUAAAUGAUGGUACUGCUACUGCCCUGACUUGGAAAUAUGAAGGCAGUCAGAUGUGAAACACCAAUGCUGUCAGCAUCAUUAUUCAUACAGAAAACCAAAACAAUGAGACAGUUCUCUGUUGUUAGCCUCUCUUUAAUCGCUUUUAUAUGGAUAAGAUGGUCUUUUUAGUAAGGACACACACACCAUUAACCAUUUUUAACUUCCAAUUGAACAAUAUAUUAUGGUACUUGUAGCAUCAAAUAUCUAAGUAAUUACUUGUGAAUGUUCAUACCUGUAUCAUAAGGAUAUGCAGGAAAGUAAACAGUUUAAUAUGUAACAGUAAAAAAAAAUCUGUUUAAUUUUAUUCAUACUUAAGUCUAAUGCUUGAAAACUAUUUCUUUAGAAAAUAUUUUUCAAUUUAUUUAUUUGAGAGAGAGAGACAGCAUGAGCUAGGGAAGGGAUGUGGGGAGGGGCAAAAGGAGAAAGAGAGAGGGAAUCUCCCAUAGCUUCCCCACUGAGCAGGGAUCUCCACAUAGGGCUUGAUCCCAGGACCAUGAGAUCAUGACUGGAGCGGAAGGCAGACACUUAACCAACUGAGGCACCCUGGUGCCCCAACUCUACGUAUUUCCAUGUGGAGGGUGAAACUAAGACAUCCAUGAUCCCUACCAUUCUAUUAGGGGAGCUAUUUUGGAACUUAAGAGUUUCUUCUGUUGAUACAGGGAGAGGUGAUUAUUCCUAUUGAAGAGAAAACACUAAAUUGAAGUGGUGCAGAGGCUAGAAAGAGUACAAGAAGAAAGUGGAGAUGACAGUGGAAAAGAGAAUGUUUCGGGAAGAGAACCUUCUUUUUUUUUUUUUUUAAGAUUUUAUUUAUUUACGCAGAAAGAGAAGCAGAGACACAAGCGGAGGAAGGGAAGAGAACCUUCUAUGGGAGACUCUCCUACCUACUAACAGAGCCUGUUAUACCGUCUGCCCUAUGAAGUCUAACGUGACAAGUGACAAAGUGUCCCCUCUGGUUCAUCUCUACUGGGAGCUUUGCAAAGAUCAGCUUGAACUUCAAUAAAAGAAACAUGCAUGCCAGUAUAUUUGGGUUAUUUCUGGGCAAAUUUCUUCUGUCAUCAGAAGCCAAUGGUCGACAGUGAGAGAUAGUUUCCCAGGCAACCCCAGAGAUGAGAAGCACUCUCAUACCUAUCCCCCAGUGGACAAGUUGUGAAGUAUUUGUUCUACCAUGAAACAUUUAUGCCUAUGAUGUGCCUCUAGCCCAUCCUUUAAAUUCCUUGAGCAGAGCCUGAUGGACACAUUACACUCAAAGAAUGUUUGUUAAAUAAAUGGCUUAGUGGAAGGCAGCUUAAGCAGAGCUUCUAUCUUCUGGUUGUCAAAGAUGACCCAAUAUUCAUUACUGGAAAAUGUUCUCAGAGUCUUUUUCGAGGAGUCAUAAAAAUUCUAACAAACUACUUAGUGUUGAAAUGCAAGACAGAAGUCUCAGAGGAAAACAGUCUAAGGUGGAGACGCCUGGGUGGUUCAGUGGUUGAGUGUCGGCCUUUGGCCCAGGGAGUGAUCCUG